AACCUCAUCAACUGGAAGGAAUUACUUCCGGUUGAUGAGUUCAAUCUUCCUCAUCAACCGGAAGGACCCUCCUCCGGUCGAUGAGGAAGCUAAACCUCAUUGACCGGAAGGGAUUCCUUCCGGUUGAUGAGGUU
rnacentral:miRNA from 1 species